CCCUUGCAACUCGGGAUAUUCUGUGAUUUGCAGCAAAAAAACCAAACACCAUGAGAGUAAAAACAACCCCCCCAGACUCUUCUAAGGCCUAAGCAGUGCUUCCAGGGAAGAUGAGGGGCCUCCAUCCCUAGGGAGAGUUCAUCUGAGGUGUACCCAGGGUUCUUCCAGUCGGGCAGGAGGAGACUCCACGUGCACUUCAAGAUCCCUUUUUCACAGAACAGGACAGGAGUGUUGGAGAUGCUGAGCACAGCAAUCGUUUGGGAUCAGCCUCGCCCUGGUGAUGCCUGUGUUUAAACCCGUAAAUUGGAUCAGGACUCAGACCCUCCCACUGACAGACACAGUCAGAUCAACCCAUCUGCAAGUCGGCUCCCUUGCCUUUCUGGAGCAUCCAGCAGCAGAGCCUGGGAAGGGUUUCUGCCUGUGAUUCUCAGAGAUGGGGUAGUAACUCCCAGUGUGGAAGAGCAUGAGCUUCCAUCAGCACAGACUGGCAUAAGCCAAAGGAAUCUCCAGUGAACCCAGCACUUCAUUCCAGAUGUGGCUGAGGGAAGAAAACCUCAUGCAAAGUGCAAGGCUGACACCUGGAGGGACUGUGAGAGGCAGCCGGGGAGCCUGGAGCAGCCAGACAUCCUGCAACACACGUGGCUGGAUCUUCCAUGUCUAUUUUUAGGAGAAGAAACAUAGAAGCUCUGACUGUGUCACCUAAUUAUUCACUUCCAUGCUCAGGAAUGUCUGGAUCAAAACUUACCUUGCUCAAUAA